AUUGAACGCUGGCGGCAUGCCUUACACAUGCAAGUCGAACGGCAGCACGGGUGCUUGCACCUGGUGGCGAGUGGCGAACGGGUGAGUAAUACAUCGGAACAUGUCCUGUAGUGGGGGAUAGCCCGGCGAAAGCCGGAUUAAUACCGCAUACGAUCUACGGAUGAAAGCGGGGGACCUUCGGGCCUCGCGCUAUCGGGUUGGCCGAUGGCUGAUUAGGUAGUUGGUGGGGUAAAGGCCUACCAAGGCGACGAUCAGUAGCUGGUCUGAGAGGACGACCAGCCACACUGGGACUGAGACACGGCCCAGACUCCUACGGGAGGCAGCAGUGGGGAAUUUUGGACAAUGGGCGAAAGCCUGAUCCAGCAAUGCCGCGUGUGUGAAGAAGGCCUUCGGGUUGUAAAGCCCUUUUGUCCGGAAAGAAAUCCUUGGCCCUAAUACGGUCGGGGGAUGACGGUACCGGAAGAAUAAGCACCGGCUAACUACGUG
rnacentral:rRNA from 1 species